GACGAACGCUGGCGGCGUGCCUAAUACAUGCAAGUAGAACGCUGAAGGAGGAGCUUGCUUCUCUGGAUGAGUUGCGAACGGGUGAGUAACGCGUAGGUAACCUGCCUGGUAGCGGGUGAUAACUAUUGGAAACGAUAGCUAAUACCGCAUAAGAGUAGAUGUCGCAUGACAUUUGCUUAAAAGGUGCAAUUGCAUCACUACCAGAUGGACCUGCGUUGUAUUAGCUAGUUGGUGAGGUAACGGCUCACCAAGGCAACGAUACAUAGCCGACCUGAGAGGGUGAUCGGCCACACUGGGACUGAGACACGGCCCAGACUCCUACGGGAGGCAGCAGUAGGGAAUCUUCGGCAAUGGACGGAAGUCUGACCGAGCAACGCCGCGUGAGUGAAGAAGGUUGUCGGAUCGUAAAGCUCUGUUGUAAGAGAAGAACGAGUGUGAGAGUGGAAAGUUCACACUGUGACGGUAUCUUACCAGAAAGGGACGGCUAACUACGUG
rnacentral:rRNA from 1 species